CAAAAGAGUGGAGAGAGCUUUGAGUAGAGGUGACAAAUCUAUCGAGCCCAGUAAUAGCUGGUUGCCUGAGAAAUGAAUAGAAGUUCAGCCCUUUAACCUUCCCCACCCAAACCCUUAUCAACAAGAUAAAGGAAGGUAAAGGAGUUAGUCAAAAGGGGGACAGCCCUUUUGACUUAAGAAACAACUUUAGCAGGUGAAAUAAGACCAUAAUAAUUAAGGACAAAAGCCCAAGUGGGCCUAAAAGCAGCCAUCUUGAAAGAAAGCGUUAAAGCUCUAGCUUAAUCCUCCCACCCCUUAUAUUCUGGUACCCCCUCUUUCCCCCUGCCACCUACCAGGCUAUCUUAUGCCGUCAUAAGAAUAAUAAUGCUAAAAUGAGUAAUAAGAAGAGAAACUCUCUUCUCCUAGCAUACGUGUAAGUCGGAUCGGACCCCCCACCGACUAUUACUCGACCCCAAACCCAGAGGGACAUAAGUUGAAAAAACAAGAAAACCACUUAAUAAAGAUCGUUAACCCUACACAGGAAUGCACCAAGGAAAGACUAAAAGAAAGGGAAGGAACUCGGCAAACCCAAGCCUCGCCUGUUUACCAAAAACAUCGCCUCUUGACUCACAUGUAUAAGAGGUCUCGCCUGCCCACUGACUAUAUGUUUAACGGCCGUGGUAUCUUGACCACGUGAAGGUAGCGUAAUUAUUUGUCUUUUAAAUGAAGACCUGUAUGAAUGGCAAAACGAGGGCUUAACUGUCUCCCCUUUCCAGUCAAUGAAAUUGAUCUCCCCGUGCAGAAGCGGGGAUUGACCUAUAAGACGAGAAGCCCCUGUGGAGCUUUAGACCUAAAAUAGCCCACCCAACAAAUUCAAGAAAAGAAUUAGACCUAGGUGAAAGUUAUUUAAGUGUCUUUGGUUGGGGUGACCAUGGGGUAAAAUCUAACCCCCACGAAGAUAGAGGAUACAUACACAUCCCUCAACACUCAGAGCCACCUCUCCAAGUAACAGAAUCUCUGACUUUAAAAAAUGAUCCGGCCAAGCCGAAUAACGAACCCAGUUACCCCAGGGAUAACAGCGCAAUCCCCUUCCAGAGUCCCUAUCGACAAGGGGGUUU
rnacentral:rRNA from 1 species